UACAGAGGGGGCAAGCGUUGUUCGGAAUUACUGGGCGUAAAGGGCGCGUAGGCGGCCUUCUAAGUCGAACGUGAAAUCCCCGGGCUCAACCCGGGAACUGCGUCCGAUACUGGAAGGCUUGAAUCCGGGAGAGGGAUGCGGAAUUCCAGGUGUAGCGGUGAAAUGCGUAGAUAUCUGGAGGAACACCGGUGGCGAAGGCGGGUCUCUGGGCCGUUACUGACGCUGAGGAGCGAAAGCGUGGGGAGCGAACAGG
rnacentral:rRNA from 1 species